AGUUCUGCGACGACUUCCUG
rnacentral:misc_RNA from 1 species